ACGAGGGACUGGUACUGGGAGAGAAAAUGGCCUCCGUAUCUCUCUGAAGAGGAGUUCUCCUGUUUACGCUGAAACACUCAGGGAUCCUCUUCUCCUGUCAUGGAGUCACAGUGUGUGUGUAAAGCCUGUCUACAACAGCAGUGUCCAGUCUGCAGGAUGAAACAGCCUGUGUGUAUUUGUUGUGUUUGAGACUCUAAGUAGCAGAGGAAACGUAACUUCACUCUCACAGCUGAAGCACUAGACCGUGAGACUAACUUUGCCUCUUAAUGGGGCAGUGACCUCCUCUUUGCCCGAAGCUGUCUGCAAGUCAUUCAAGCAAUUCGGUAAACUCCAGGUUGCUGUCCAUAGAGGAGCGGUUGGCUGCUCUGGAGUCGGAAAAACUAUGCGGGAGAGACAAGUAGAGAAGACGGGUGCACAAUCCCAAGCUUGCGCUGCUGGAAUCGAGACAGAGUUUGACUUUGGAAAUCCGCCACCUUAGACCUGAUGUCUGAUGUAGACGGUGUUGUUGGCUGGGUGUCUGAAAGGAUUGUAACGAUCGCCGGCCUUUCAGAGUCCGGAGCUCUCUGAACUCUGUGCCACGCUGCAGUCCCGGUUAGAGGCGACUCUGAAGUGCAGAGCCAUGCACCAUAGGUGUCUGCAAAACGGGCCUGCCUCAGAAAGAAGCGCCAGUUACAGCCCCGAGGCGGCCAGGUCACGGAGUUGUAGCUUUUGGGUUGCUCGUGAGCUUACGUUGUGUGGGCAGUUCUUCGCUUUGCACAUAGUUGUGUGUUUGUUUUAAUAAAGUUUUCCUGUGUUCCUGGCAAA